UCGAUUCAUGUUCACCGUACUCGAAUAGCAAUUCGAGUACCAUUUCAAACCAACCUCGGUUCAACGAGCUCGAAAUGCAGUCAAUUCGAUUCGAGCUCGAUUCAACUAUAUCGUGCUCGAUUAAAAAGACGAGCUCGACGAACUCAAUCUGCUCUUAUCGACCUCAGUUAUUUUUAUCGAGCUCGGUUUGCCACGUAUUCUAUCGAGCACGGUUUGCCUCGCAUUCUGUAGGUAAUCUGGUACCAAGACUUGGGAGGGAGCAUGGGACGAGCGAGAGUGGCCAUGUUUCUGGCAAAUUUGUCGAGUUUAGUUCGUGAAUUCGGGACUUUUUAGGAGUAUGUUUUCGGUCGAAUUCGAAAAAAAAGAAGAAGAGUGACAGAAGAAAAGCAAAGAAUGAUUUCUACUGCUAAGGAGAUGAAGGAAAUGACACUAAGCAGGUAUAUUUAUUGUCAAGAGCAUGGGACAGAAAAAAUCUGACUGCAGAUGACAUUGGAGCUUGUUACCAUUUGCACUCUGGAAGGAUACUAUUAUAACCACUAAACUACAGGAGGCUUGAGGUGAGCAAGGUCACUUAGUAUUAUGUCAUCUCUUUAAGCUACCAAUCUCUGUUACCAUGGAAGAAAGUAGUUAUCUUCCUUUUAA